GCUACUACCGAUUGAAUGAUUUAGUGAGGCCUUCGGACUGGCGCUCUUGGAUGCCGGGCCCAUGCGGUUCCGCCGCUGGGCUCUCGGCGCCUCGAGCUGACGGAAAGAUGUCCAAACUUGAUCAUUUAGAGGAAGUAAAAGUCGUAACAAGGUUUCCGUAGGUG
rnacentral:rRNA from 1 species